GCCUGGGUGGCUCAGUCGGUUAAGCACUCGACUUCGGCUCAGGUCAUGAUCUGGCAGUUCGUGGGUUCGAGCCCCACUCUGGGCU
rnacentral:tRNA from 1 species